UUGUCCUCCUGUGAAUGGCACUAGAUGCUCACACAAACAACAGUGUCUCACCGAAGAGGAAUGGCCCCGAAGCAGGUCUCAGAAGGAGCUCAGUACAGUGAGCGAGCUUACCCUGUGGCUUGUGGUCGCGAGCCUUACAACUCUGCACCUUGUCGCUCCCGCGUUUGGCAAGGUCUUCUGGGUUCCUUCUGCAGUCCCAGCGAUGCGCUGGCACGGGGCGAGCGGAGAUGAUCUGAUGUUAGACCACCUCGAUGGUCCCUGCUGAUAUUUAAGCAAACACGAAGCCUGGCAGCACUGCAGGAAUGUUUGUUGGCCCCUGGCAACGGACGUCAUCUGCAAGAAGGGUCGCGCUAGAUUGACAUGGAAACAAAGGUCUCAUCAGGGCACAAGAGUCGUACACGGUUCUCCAGUUCGCCUCUCUGGGAAUGAGGUCCGAGGAGAUUUCGGAAUGGACCCUUGAGAAUGCGUGUGUUCUUGACCAGAAGGGCGGUACACCCGUGUUCCCCAAGAGUUGGACAUUCCACCCGCGCCCCGUCUGAGGUUCUCAGUCCUGCUCCGACCAGCCAACUCUGCCCACAGUAGAUCAGAAGGAAUCUUUGUUUCCUCCACUUGAAAGGAGUUCCCGAGCAGCCCACAGAUGCUGGGAGUCUUUCUGUAACUUUUUUCUGCUGAUGAUGUUACUACAAAAGAAGGAUCUGGGUCCCCAACUCACCCUGAAGUCUGGGCCAUCUUCUGGGCACUACAGAGUUCACUGUCCCUGCAGCUUCCAGGUGACCACCUGGGACUCCAGGGCAGCCAUGAAAGGAUCAGCAAAGCCACUGACACCCUUGCUCUUCUGUUGAUCCUUGCAUCUCCGAGCUGGUAUGGCAGCUGGACUUGGGAACACUGAACAUCUGGGAGCUUGGCCUGUUACUGUGAAGAUGUGUAAUGGCCUAGAGUGCAGAUCUGCUGAGGAAGCCAUGUGAUUCUUCUCACAUAUUGAUGGGGUUCCCACACCCUGGAAAGGACAGGCCAGCCGAGACCAUCAUGACCAAGGUCCUAGCAACCCUGUGGCCUGACCAGUGUGGGGUGAGCUGGCCUCCAGCUGCUGGCUAUACCCAGAAGUCCCCAGCAUCAUCUCCUGUGAGCUCUUUUUUUCUAAGACCUUCCACAGCCAAAACCGGCUUCAAGCAAAGCCUGUCUCACCAACCAACAAGCUGGAUUCCAAGCCUCCCUCCAGAAGUUUCAGUGGCCAGAUGGAAACACUGUCCUUCUAGGCAGACAGUUCCCAAGAGACACUUAAGAAUAUGUAGGACCCACUGCUGUAGAGCUGUAUCAAGAACCAAAAGCCUCUCUGUGCAGGAAAGCUUGAAAGCUGUGUGCUCUACAGCAGGGCAGCUCCGGGCACAGCGACCUCUCUCCCUCCUGUGGCUCAGACACUGGCGAAGACACAGCUGAAGGUCUAAUGUCAGGGAAGGAUGCUGGACGUCACUCCCUUCUGUUGGAAGGGUCCUUACAUCCAUCCACAAAGCGAAACGAACUCUGACUCCUGACCUCAGAGGGACUUGGACUCUGUGCAGAAGUAGGAGGUCUCAUAAUUCCGACCCGAGGAAUGUCCCGCCCCCCGCACCUCAUGCUGCCCCACCAGAUUCCAUGACAAAGAGGGUGCCAGGGUCCAGGUCCAACUUCCCUGGAGAACACGGCACAGUGAGGUCAUGAGGCUCUUUGGCAGCUGAUGGCAAGCUACCUUUGUUUUUUUCUAAGCUAGCUGAGACCUGAGACCAUUCCCCCUGAGGCAUGGAGGCACCACUCAUUACCAUCCCUCUUCAUCUUCUGGAGCCGUCCUUUCUGGGAGCCCUGGGAAAGGUGGCCUCCCAGAUACCAGAGACAAGUGCCUCUGUUGUUUGGGCAGAGCCGGCCUGGGUCGGGCAGGGUGCUGGAAGAGGACACACGGGCUUAGAUUCUGAGCUGCUCCUUCCUUCCCAACCCCCCUCCCAGCCCACCUGUGCAGAAGGUCCCCUCUUCCUGCUUCGGUUCGCUGAGCUGGCACAAAGAACCUCACUGAGCCCAAGGUCAGGGGCAUCAGAUUAGUCACUGAGCAGGCUUGAGAAGCCACCUUCUCAGGAUAAUGUCUGCUUGUUCUAGGCACAAACACAGGUCUAUUGGGAAGGACCUGGGGAGAUGGUUCAGAAACUAGGGCUGCAUUCUCCCAAAU